GAUGAACGCUAGCUACAGGCUUAACACAUGCAAGUCGAGGGGAAACGACAUCGAAAGCUUGCUUUUGAUGGGCGUCGACCGGCGCACGGGUGAGUAACGCGUAUCCAACCUGCCCACCACUUGGGGAUAACCUUGCGAAAGUAAGACUAAUACCCAAUGAUAUCUCUAGAAGACAUCUGAAAGGGAUUAAAGAUUUAUCGGUGAUGGAUGGGGAUGCGUCUGAUUAGCUUGUUGGCGGGGGUAACGGGCCCACCAAGGCGACGAUCGGUAGGGGUUCUGAGAGGAAGGUCCCCCCACAUUGGGACUGAGACACGGCCCAGACUCCUACGGGAGGCAGCAGUGGGGGAUAUUGCGCAAUGGGGGGCAACCCGUGACGCAGCAACGCCGCGUGAAGGAUGAAGGUUUUCGGAUU
rnacentral:rRNA from 1 species